rnacentral:rRNA from 1 species
UACGUAGGUGGCAAGCGUUGUCCGGAUUUACUGGGCGUAAAGGGUGCGUAGGCGGACAUUUAAGUCAGAUGUGAAAUACCCGAGCUUAACUUGGGUGCUGCAUUUGAAACUGGGUGUCUAGAGUGCAGGAGAGGUAAGUGGAAUUCCUAGUGUAGCGGUGAAAUGCGUAGAGAUUAGGAAGAACACCAGUGGCGAAGGCGACUUACUGGACUGUAACUGACGCUGAGGCAUGAAAGCGUGGGGAGCAAACAGG